AGGAGUUAGCCACAGGGAGGGCCGCGGGCCUGGGCUGAGUUGUGGGGGAGGAGGUGGCAGUUUAGGGCCUCAGGGGACAUAUGGGGGCGGUGACAGAGUCAGGCGAUACUGGCGGGCUGGGGGUGGGAGUGUGCCUGCUGGAGGCAGGUUAGAGGGGAGACUAGACCUUAGGGAAGUCUUGCAGGGCAUAGCUGCCUCGAAAGGGCCCGCAGGAACCCGGGGAGAGGAGCAGACUCCAGGCCUGGGUGUCGCUGCUGCCCGCUGGAGAAGGGGAACUUGACCCCUGGGAGGGGGCCGAUUCCGCGUAGGCUGGGCGGCCCCCUGUGCCCUGCUUUGUCUGACGGAGGGAGGCAGAGACUGGAGGAGGCUGAGGGUCUCGCCACCCUUGCUGGAGGCGAUAUCUGGCCGUCGAUGCCCUGAACAUGAGCAAGAAGGCAGGCCGUGGGGUGCGGGGUCGCAGUUAGGCUGGGAAGGCAGCACUUGAACUUGUCAAUACCAGCCGCCCCCUUUUUUUCCAGACAAAGGGGUGUGAGCCCGCCUGGGGAUGAGGCCUGGUGUGGUGGCAACUGACCUUAGCUUCGCGGGCUGACAGCUCUGGCCCAGGGCGGUGGCAGUGCUCCCUUUUGGACUUUUCCUGUAGGUUCCGUGCUAACCUCUUCUGUGAGCUCACUCUGCCCCUCCUCCUCCUCCUCCUCCCUUUAACUCCCUCGAGGUUCCCCAUUGGCUUAAGCGUUGCUUCUGGUAAUCUGGUAAGCCCGGGAAGUUGCUCCAGUCCCUGUUGGAGUCGGUACUGCUGGUAAUCCUGAAGGAGGAGAGGCCUCCCCUGUUGAGACUCUGGGUGGGUGGGUGGCUUGCAGGUGGAGGGGGUGGGGCGUGGAUGUGCACCCCCCGGGUGGGCCCGCGGCCAUGGUACCAGCUGAAAGCUACGCAAAUGCCUCAUAGAUGGUGGUUUGUUGCUGUAGUGUUCAUCAUGGCGAGCUGAUGGCACCAGGAGGAUGGAGCCUCUGGCCAGUGUGAGUCGUAGCAGUGCAGGAGGGGAGACCCUGGAGGAGAGAGCCCGCCUAAAUUGAUGUCUGCAGAUUGAAUUUCCAGAGGCUUAGGAGGAGGAAGUUCUCCAAUGUCCCGUGUCCAGGCCUUGGCUCAGGAAGCCCUGUAUUCAGGAGGCCACCCUUUAAGGGUGUCAAUGAGCUUGUGAAAGGGUGAUGGUUCCAAGUCCCAAGCAGAUGCAUCCGGGGUCGUCAGCAGAUGUGUUGAGUGUUUGAUCCGGAGCACCAACCUCUGGGCACGUUGAAUGCCAGCAGGCACCUCUCCUGUUCGGGGGUGGAGGUUUUCCGAUGGCUGCGUCUUCUAAUGCCUCCUGUCAUGCUAGUUCUGUGCUACGAACCUUGCUUCCAGAAGACUCUUAAGAUGUAGAACAUUUUAACGCUGAUGCCUCAACGCAGAGUGAUGCCUGGUAGAUGGAGCUUGCAGAUGGAGCCCAGGGACCCUGUCAUCUACUCACCUGCCUGCCCCAGCCUCGGUCGGAGGAAUUCUUAGUGUGAUGAUGUAACCUGUGUGUCCAGAAAGUGUUCACUGUUGAAACGCCUUAGGCCAAUACUCACAGGAAGCCACCUGGCAA
rnacentral:lncRNA from 1 species